rnacentral:rRNA from 1 species
CCUACGGGUGGCAGCAGUAGGGAAUAUUGCACAAUGGGGGAAACCCUGAAGCAGCGACGCCGCGUGAGGGAAGAAGGAUCUCGGAAUGUAAAGCUCUAUCGUCAGGGAAGAAAAUGACGGUAUCUGACGAAGAAGCCCCGGCUAACUACGUGCCAGCAGCCGCGGUAAUACGGAGGGGGCAAGCGUUAUCCGGAUUUACUGGGUGUAAAGAGAGCGUAGACGGGGCUGCAAGUCCGAUGUGAAAUCCCAUGGCUUAACCAUGGUACUGCAUUGGAAACUGUUGUUCUAGAGUAUGGGAGGGGCAGGUGGAAUUCUUGGUGUAGGGGUAAAAUCCGUAGAGAUUAGGAGGAACACUCACGGCGAAGGCGACCUGCUAGACCGUAACUGACGUUGAGGCUCGAAAGCGUGGGGAGCAAACAGGAUUAGAUACCCGGGUAGUC